AGUGAACGCUGGCGGUAGGCCUAACACAUGCAAGUCGAACGGCAGCACAGUAAGAGCUUGCUCUUACGGGUGGCGAGUGGCGGACGGGUGAGGAAUACAUCGGAAUCUACUUUUUCGUGGGGGAUAACGUAGGGAAACUUACGCUAAUCCCGCAUACGACCUACGGUUGAAAGCAGGGGAUCUUCGGACCUUGCGCGAUUGAAUGAGCCGAUGUCGGAUUAGCUAGUUGGCGGGGUAAAGGCCCACCAAGGCGACGAUCCGUAGCUGGUCUGAGAGGAUGAUCAGCCACACUGGAACUGAGACACGGUCCAGACUCCUACGGGAGGCAGCAGUGGGGAAUAUUGGACAAUGGGCGCAAGCCUGAUCCAGCCAUACCGCGUGGGUGAAGAAGGCCUUCGGGUUGUAAAGCCCUUUUGUUGGGAAAGAAAAGCAGCAGGUUAAUACCCCGCUGUUCUGACGGUACCCAAAGAAUAAGCACCGGCUAACUUCGUG
rnacentral:rRNA from 1 species